rnacentral:rRNA from 1 species
UUGCCUGGCGGCCAUAGCGCCGUGGAACCACCUGAUCCCAUGCCGAACUCAGAAGUGAAACGCGGUAGCGCCGAUGGUAGUGUGGCAUUCGCCAUGUGAGAGUAGGACACUGCCAGGCAC